rnacentral:rRNA from 1 species
UACGAAGGGGGCUAGCGUUGCUCGGAAUCACUGGGCGUAAAGCGCACGUAGGCGGAUUUCUAAGUCAGGGGUGAAAUCCUGGAGCUCAACUCCAGAACUGCCUUUGAUACUGGGAAUCUCGAGUCCGGGAGAGGUGAGUGGAACUGCGAGUGUAGAGGUGAAAUUCGUAGAUAUUCGCAAGAACACCAGUGGCGAAGGCGGCUCACUGGCCCGGUACUGACGCUGAGGUGCGAAAGCG